GUCCGGCAACCCUUAACCUUUUAGCGAAAACAUCAGCUGCUGGGGAAAAUUUGUUUUGUUAACAAUAAAAACGACCGUUUGCGCUGAAAAUGCCACUGCGGAGAGGAAGCAAGUUGAUCACGGAAUGAUGCAAUGCAUGGACCAUGAUCCUAUUUACAAAGGCGAAUCUCAUCCGCUUCCUGGCCGGCGCAAUAUGCUUGUUGCUGGUGCUGAAUUUUGUGGGCUUCCCCUCUGACGGAGCUAGCGGUACGUCCCUGAGCAAGCUAAGCAUACGGCGCGUGCACAAAUAUGCGCAUUUACAUAGGAACGCCAGCAGUGGGGGCAUCCGGCUGCCUGCUGCGCCCCUGGCCCUAUCGAAGGAGCGAGAGCUGCACAACGCUCAGAACUCCACCUCAACGACUGUGAUUGCGAUUGCAAACUUUACUUCCAUUCCACAAGACUUAUCGCACCCCUUUGCGAACUUCAACAGCACAAACAUGAGCACACACAAGCCCCUGCCAAUGAAACCAACCAUGUCCGCCCUCCAUGCCAAUUGCACUGAUCCUGAUCCCCGAGAUGGUGGACCCGUCACGCCCAACACAACGCUGGAAUCUCUAGAUGUUAUUGAGGCCGAGCUGGGCCCUUUGCUGCGCCCUGGCGGAGCUUUCCAGCCCGACAAUUGCAACCCACAACACCAUGUGGCCAUUGUUGUGCCCUUCCGCGACCGCUACGCCCAUCUCUCCGUCUUCCUCCGCAACAUACACCCGUUCCUAAUGAAGCAGCGCAUCGCCUAUCGCAUAUUCAUUGUUGAGCAAACCAACGGGAAGCCCUUCAAUCGCGCGGCUAUGAUGAAUAUCGGUUACUUGGAGGCCUUAAAGCUUUAUCAGUGGGAUUGUUUUAUAUUUCACGAUGUCGAUCUACUGCCUUUGGACGAUCGUAAUCUCUACAAUUGUCCACGUCAGCCGCGGCACAUGUCGGUUGCGAUUGACACGCUGAAUUUCAAGUUGCCUUACCGAACAAUAUUUGGCGGAGUCUCUGCCAUGACGCGUGAGCACUUCCAGGCCGUGAAUGGCUUCUCCAACUCGUUCUUCGGCUGGGGCGGCGAGGACGAUGAUAUGUCCAACAGAUUGAAGCAUGCGAAUCUAUUCAUAUCAAGGUACCCCGUGAACAUUGCGCGCUACAAGAUGCUGAAGCAUCAAAAGGAGAAGGCCAAUCCCAAGCGCUAUGAGAAUAUACAAAAUGGCAUGAACAAGAUUGAAAUGGAUGGCAUCAACUCAAUCAAGUAUGGCAUCUACAGCAUCAAGGAGUUCCCGACCUUCACGUGGUAUUUAGCAGAGCUAAGGAACUCCGAGCGCAAGAGUUAGCCUAAAUGGGGAGACCGAGACCCCAACUCAAAAAGACAGCGUAACCAACCUUACGUGACCUUUCAAAACGAUCUAUUAUUGUGCAUGUACAAAGGACAACAUUACUUUCUCGAAUAGUAGAAUCUCUCUCUCUCUCUUUUACUAGAGAAGCCCCCAAAAAGGAAAGUUUAUGCCGAAACGAUGAAGACAUUAGACAUUAGCGCACAUAUUGUGUGUAUGCUCCAAUUCGAAAAUCCAACCACAGUCACAGAAUGUAGCGAUAAUCGCCCCCUCCUCCCUUAAAUACUCAAAGUGCUCAAGAAUACUUAUAGACUUUUUUGUUAAUUUUUGUUUUGUUUUGUGUUUUUUGUUAAGUUUGUUUUUUCUAUGGCUCUUCUAUGGUAUUUUAUUCUAUUCUCUUCAAAAGGCACCUACACCAAUUCCUAAAAGGUGAAAAUGUAGAUAUUACUUUUGUGAUAUGCAAAUUGUUAAUCGAGAUCAGAAACGAUUUAUACCAAAAUAAACUUAUAAAAACUUUUACUAUACCAAAAAAACAAAUGCAAAUGGUUUCGCUGCCCAUUCCAUUCCCCAACCCAUCCAUAAAACAGAGAGUUCAUUGAUUCGUUUGUUAGAUAUCGUUUUAUUAUUAUGGUUACUACGUGUAUUAGAGAUAGUAUUUAUGGCUCUGUAACGACUGGGUUACCUUUUAAGUCGGAGUUACGUUUAUUAGGUAUACGAUUAGUAGGUAUUCAAGUGGCGCUUGGGGCACAUUUAUUAGUUAUCGUAUGCGACAUAAAAAUUCAGUUAAAACAAUUUCGACUUUGGGUUUUCCACUGGUAAAUGCUUGAGCAAUAGUUGAACAAUUUCGAGCAAUCUAUAACAGAUAUAACAAUAUGACAAUCCUCGGAUGCCGUAAUACAAAUUAAAGUAUAUACAUA
rnacentral:misc_RNA from 1 species